rnacentral:rRNA from 1 species
UGGGGAAUAUUGGACAAUGGGCGAAAGCCUGAUCCAGCCAUGCCGCGUGUGUGAAGAAGGUCUUCGGAUUGUAAAGCACUUUAAGUUGGGAGGAAGGGCAUUAACCUAAUACGUUAGUGUUUUGACGUUACCGACAGAAUAAGCACCGGCUAACUAUGUGCCAGCAGCCGCGGUAAUACAGAGGGUGCAAGCGUUAAUCGGAAUUACUGGGCGUAAAGCGCGCGUAGGUGGUUUGUUAAGUUGGAUGUGAAAGCCCCGGGCUCAACCUGGGAACUGCAUCCAAAACUGGCAAGCUAGAGUACGGUAGAGGGUGGUGGAAUUUCCUGUGUAGCGGUGAAAUGCGUAGAUAUAGGAAGGAACACCAGUGGCGAAGGCGACCACCUGGACUGAUACUGACACUGAGGUGCGAAAGCGUGGGGAGCAAACA